rnacentral:lncRNA from 1 species
GGAGCUAAAACUUUUCUAAAACAUGCGUUCCGGUAACACAGUAACCGCAAUCUGGUAUUCCGGUAAUACGGUAACGUUAAAAAAUGUGCAUAGAAGCU